rnacentral:rRNA from 1 species
CCUACGGGUGGCUGCAGUGAGGAAUAUUGGUCAAUGGGCGGAAGCCUGAACCAGCCAAGUCGCGUGAGGGAAUAAGGCCCUACGGGUCGUAAACCUCUUUUGCCGGGGAGCAAGGGCGGGGACGUGUCCCGGCCCGGAGAGUACCCGGAGAAAAAGCAUCGGCUAACUCCGUGCCAGCAGCCGCGGUAAUACGGAGGAUGCGAGCGUUAUCCGGAUUUAUUGGGUUUAAAGGGUGCGCAGGCGGAGGUGCAAGUCAGCGGUCAAAUUGCGAGGCUCAACCCCGUACUGCCGUUGAAACUGCAUCCCUUGAGUGCGCGAGAAGUAUGCGGAAUGCGUGGUGUAGCGGUGAAAUGCAUAGAUAUCACGCAGAACUCCGAUUGCGAAGGCAGCAUACCGGCGCGCAACUGACGCUCAUGCACGAAAGCGUGGGUAUCGAACAGGAUUAGAUACCCCUGUAGUC